rnacentral:lncRNA from 1 species
CAUUUUAUUAUCUCAGUCCCUACCUGGGUUAGGUGGACCUCACAGGAGAUCUGAAGGUGCAUUUUAUUAUCUCAGUCCCUUCCUGGGUUAGGCUGACUUCACAGGAGAUCUGAAGGUGCAUUUUAUUAUCUCAGUCCCUUCUUGGGUUAGGCUGACCUCACAGGAAAUCUGAAGGUGCAUUUUAUUAUCUCAGUCCCUUCCUGGGUUAGGCGGACCUCACAGGAGAUCUGAAGGUGCAUUUUAUUAUCUCAGUCCCUUCUUGGGUUAGGUGGACCUCACAGGAGAUCUGAAGGUGCAUUUUACUAUCUCAGUCCCUUCUUGGGUUAGGCGGACCUCACAGGAGAUCUGAAGGUGCAUUUUAUUAUCUCAGUCCCUUCCUGGGUUAGGCCGACCUCACAGGAGAUCUGAAGGUGCAUUUUAUUAUCUCAGUCCCUUCCUGGGUUAGGCUGACCUCACAGGAGAUCUGAAGGUGCAUUUUAUUAUCUCAGUCCCUUCUUGGGUUAGGUGGCCCUCACAGGAGAUCUGAAGGUGCAUUUUAUUAUCUCAGUCCCUUCCUGGGUUAGGUGGACCUCACAGGAGAUCUGAAGGUGCAUUUUAUUAUCUCAGUCCCUUCCUGGGUUAGGCUGACUUCACAGGAGAUCUGAAGGUGCAUUUUAUUAUCUCAGUCCCUUCUUGGGUUAGGCUGACCUCACAGGAAAUCUGAAGGUGCAUUUUAUUAUCUCAGUCCCUUCCUGGGUUAGGCGGACCUCACAGGAGAUCUGAAGGUGCAUUUUAUUAUCUCAGUCCCUUCUUGGGUUAGGUGGACCUCACAGGAGAUCUGAAGGUGCAUUUUACUAUCUCAGUCCCUUCUUGGGUUAGGCGGACCUCACAGGAGAUCUGAAGGUGCAUUUUAUUAUCUCAGUCCCUUCCUGGGUUAGGCCGACCUCACAGGAGAUCUGAAGGUGCAUUUUAUUAUCUCAGUCCCUUCCUGGGUUAGGCUGACCUCACAGGAGAUCUGAAGGUGCAUUUUAUUAUCUCAGUCCCUUCUUGGGUUAGGUGGCCCUCACAGGAGAUCUGAAGGUGCAUUUUAUUAUCUCAGUCCCUUCCUGGGUUAGGUGGACCUCACAGGAGAUCUGAAGGUGCAUUUUAUUAUCUCAGUCCCUUCCUGGGUUAGGCUGACUUCACAGGAGAUCUGAAGGUGCAUUUUAUUAUCUCAGUCCCUUCUUGGGUUAGGC